UGCAAAGGUAGCAUAAUCACUAGUUUUUUAAUUGGAAGCUUGAAUGAAAGGUUGGAUGAAGAAACUACUGUCUCAAUUAAAAUUUAUUAGAAUUUUAUUAUUUUGUAAAAAGGCAAAAAUUUAUAUAAAAGACGAGAAGACCCUAUAGAGUUUUAUAGUUUUAAGAGAAAGGGUAAUUAGAAUAUAUUUUUUUAUUUUUUAAAAUUAUUUGGUUGGGGUGAUUGAAAAAUUUAAUUAACUUUUUUUGUAUAAAUACAUAGAUUUAUGAAUAUUUGAUCCUUUAAAAAGAUUAAAAGAAAAAAUUACCUUAGGGAUAACAGCGUUAUUUUUCUUGAGAGUUCUUAUCGAAAGAAGAGUUUGCGACCUCGAUGUUGGAUUAAAAUUAAGGCUUGGUGUAGAAGCUAGGUUUUUAGGUCUGUUCGACCUUUAAAAUUUU
rnacentral:rRNA from 1 species